UUUUCUAUUUCACCACUAAUCUCCCUCCUCAGAUGAGCUACUGAAGACUGACUCAUUCCAAGUGAGUCUGCAACUUUUCUUGUAGAAACACCACUCCUAAGCUGCACCAAUGCUUGGUUCUUCAAUGAUUCACACAACCGAGGCAUAGAGAUACAAUUGACAAAUCAACUUUCACUAUAGAUAGUACACAACAAGAGCAACACAACAAACAAAAAAU
rnacentral:lncRNA from 1 species